ACGGAAUAGAUACCCAGGUAGUCCACGCCCUAAACGAUGUCUACUAGUUGUCGGGUCUUAAUUGACUUGGUAAACGCAGCUAAACGCGUGAAGUAGACCGCCUGGGGAGUACGGUCGCAAGAUUAAAACUCAAAGGAAUUGACGGGGACCCGCACAAGCGGUGGAUGAUGUGGAUUAAUUCGAUGCAACGCGAAAAACCUUACCUACCCUUGACAUGGAUGGAAUCCCUGAGAGAUUGGGGAGUGCCCGAAAGGGAACCAUUACACAGGUGCUGCAUGGCUGUCGUCAGCUCGUGUCGUGAGAUGUUGGGUUAAGUCCCGCAACGAGCGCAACCCUUGUCAUUAGUUGCUACGAAAGGGCACUCUAAUGAGACUGCCGGUGACAAACCGGAGGAAGGUGGGGAUGACGUCAAGUCCUCAUGGCCCUUAUGGGUAGGGCUUCACACGUCAUACAAUGGUACAUACAGAGGGCCGCCAACCCGCGAGGGGGAGCUAAUCCCAGAAAGUGUAUCGUAGUCCGGAUUGUAGUCUGCAACUCG
rnacentral:rRNA from 1 species